rnacentral:piRNA from 1 species
UUCGGGAUACUUUGUCCCAGGGUGUGGUU